AGUAAAGACUAUGGCAAAUUGUAUACGUACAAAUAGAAUAGCAUUUAAGAAUUCAAAUAGCGUUGAAUUGGAUAAAAUUGAUACCAAGACUAAGAUGUGAAUAAUCAAUGCACUACAUGUAUACGUACAUGAUCAGCUCUUUCUUACAAGGAGGAAUAUCAACAGGCAGUAACGUGAAGUUCUAACUUACGGGUUUUGUUCUCCGCUUUCAUCUCGUUGUUCCGUUUGUCGUGUUGUUGGAUCCAGGCUUUCUUCUAAGUGAAGUAAGGUGGAAGGAGAUUAUUUCUUGGCAUAUGAGGUUUAUCAUAUUAAUUAUGGAAGUUCUUGGAUGGACUGAGCUCUUGAACGACGUGAGGUACAGAUGCUCACGUUGGUAACCCGCCAGCUUAGGAGUCCUAUUCAGCUAUCUUGGAGAGCUCCCUUAUUCCGGAGCCUAGAUUUUGGUACAAAAUCUCUUGUGGUGUAUAUGUAUUUUAUCCAAGGGUACGGCGGGGCCCUGUCCCGUCAUAUGAUACUGUUGUUACUAUUAGAGGUCUGUAGACAUAUGUGUGGGUUGUGUAUCGAUGUUGUUCAGUUGUGUCUAUAUGGCUUAUGUUUUGGGACGUUUCCAUUCGUAGUGGCAGCCUUGU